ACAAUAAGUUCUCAAUAUACGCAUAUGGUAACGGAUAUAUUAUUAGUUGUCAGGAAAAUUAUUCUAAGGGACUAGAUACAAUAUUUCACUGUUGCCAACAGUUCCUUUUCAAAAUAUAACUAAACCACAACUGCUAAAUGUUUUAAAUUUUCUCUUAGGGCGCUAACUACGUGUUGUGUAGGCAUUAUGUUUGGACGUGGAGGGUAAUGUUUUUUCGAAGUCAGUGUUGCCGUAGGCCGUUAUGGCUACACAAAUUCCCUUAUCGAUUUGUUUAGCAAUUUUUAAAAAAGUAAAUUUAUUGACGAGUAUAAUAGAAUAUUAUAUUAAUACGAUUUUGAUAUUGCUGAUAUUGGUAUCGCUCUUCCUUAAUCCCGAACGCUGCCGGCCACACGUAACCGGUAUACAUUGGUCCUGUCCAUUAUGUAUUAUCUACACGUAGAUAGGUAUAUUAUUAUUAUUAUUAAAACGAUACGUAUUAUACAAUACACACACUGACGACGACGAAAAAAAUC